rnacentral:rRNA from 1 species
ACUUUUCGGCCGCAACCCCCCAACAACACAGGGACGUUCACAAAGGUGGGAGAGUCGAGCCGAAGCUCGAAAACUCGGUAAUUAUCCUUCCGUAGGUGAACCUGCGGAAGGAUCAUUACCGAGUUUUCGAGCUUCGGCUCGACUCUCCCACCCUUUGUGAACGUACCUCUGUUGCUUUGGCGGCUUCGGCCGCCAAAGGACCUUCAAACUCCAGUCAGUAAACGCAGACGUCUGAUAAACAAGUUAAUAAACUAAAACUUUCAACAACGGAUCUCUUGGUUCUGGCAUCGAUGAAGAACGCAGCGAAAUGCGAUAAGUAAUGUGAAUUGCAGAAUUCAGUGAAUCAUCGAAUCUUUGAACGCACAUUGCGCCCCUUGGUAUUCCGGGGGGCAUGCCUGUUCGAGCGUCAUUACAACCCUCAAGCUCUGCUUGGAAUUGGGCACCGUCCUCACUGCGGACGCGCCUCAAAGACCUCGGCGGUGGCUGUUCAGCCCUCAAGCGUAGUAGAAUACAGCGGGGUUUGGAAAGGAAGGGGGGGGGGGGGGGAAGAACCAUGGGGGGGGGGGGCAAAAAAAAAAGGGGGGGGGGCAGAUCACUCU